AGUUUGAUCCUGGCUCAGAAUAAACGUUGGCGGCGUGCUUAACACAUGCAAGUCGAGCGAGAAAGGUCUUCGGACUGAGUACAGCGGCAAACGGGUGAGUAACACGUGGGAAUCUACCUUUUAGUGAAGAAUACCCUCGAGAAAUCGAGGUUAAUACUGCAUACGUCUCGAGAGAGAGAAAGAUGGCCUCUUUGCUGUCGCUGAAAGAUGAGCCUGCGUACUAUUAGCUAGUUGGUAGGGUAAAGGCCUACCAAGGCUAUGAUGGUUAGCCGGCCUGAGAGGGUGUACGGCCACACUGGAACUUAGACACGGUCCAGACUCCUACGGGAGGCAGCAGUGAGGAAUAUUGCGCAAUGGGCGAAAGCCUGACGCAGCGACGCCGCGUGGAGGAUGAAGGUCUUAGGAUUGUAAACUUCUGUUAAGCGGGAAGAAAGACGAAGUGUUAAUACCACUUUAUGAUGACGGUACCGCUAAAGAAAGCACCGGCUAACUUCGUG
rnacentral:rRNA from 1 species